rnacentral:rRNA from 1 species
CCUACGGGAGGCAGCAGUGAGGAAUAUUGGUCAAUGGACGCAAGUCUGAACCAGCCAAGUCGCGUGAAGGAUGACUGCCCUACGGGUUGUAAACUUCUUUUAUAAGAGAGUAAAGUGAGACACGUGUGCCUUUUUGUAUGUACUUUAUGAAUAAGGAUCGGCUAACUCCGUGCCAGCAGCCGCGGUAAUACGGAGGAUCCGAGCGUUAUCCGGAUUUAUUGGGUUUAAAGGGAGCGUAGAUGGGUUGUUAAGUCAGUUGUGAAAUGUUGCGGCUCAACCGUAAAAUUGCAAUUGAUACUGGUAGUCUUGAGUACAGUUGAGGUAGGCGGAAUGUGUGGUGUAGCGGUGAAAUGCUUAGAGAUCAUGAAGAACUCCGAUUGCGAAGGCAGCUUACUAAACUGUCACUGACAUUGAGGCUCGAAAGCGUGGGUAGCAAACAGGAUUAGAUACCCGAGUAGUC